rnacentral:lncRNA from 1 species
CUGUCGCGCUGUUCUCGGACCAAACUGAGAGUGGGGCGGCUAUUUCUCGGGGCCCAAUGACGAGAUGCAGAUGAACUGAGGAGGAAGAGCGUUUUUAUUUUCUGCAACUGGUUACAGGGAGAAAGGCCUGGAAAUGAUCACCGGACCAACUCAAAAUUACAGUUUUCCAGAACUUACAUACCUUCUAAGCGGUAUGUCUACGUGUAAGUGUGCAUGCAUCUGAAGACAUUAGUGAUGAACUUACGGUCAUCUGUGAGUCCUGAAGACCUUCCUCUGGAGCCUCAAUAAGGGAAUUUGGACAACGACAUGCACGCAGGGAGAACAGCACAUGAAGACGGAGGCAGGGAUGGCAGAGACGUGUCCACCAGCCAGGAGCCAGACACUGCCAGCGGAUCACACGCAGC